GUGAAUUCCAGCUGGUGAUCACUAUUUUCCAGGUGGUCAAAGACCUGCAGUCGCCUCACCAAGUCAUCCCUAGUGGCCAGGACCAGGUCCAGCAAGGCAUUACUCCAAGUGGGGCUGUGCACCUUCUGGAUAAGGUGUAGGUCCUGUAAUAUAGCCAGGAACCUACGCAAGUGGUCAGACCUGGCUGUCGGCUCCUCCCAGCAAAUGUCUGGUUUCAGAUCCUUUGGUUCAG